rnacentral:ribozyme from 1 species
UUCUCUCUCUAAGAAAAACAACACCAACCAAAACCCCACGAUCAGAGAAGAAGCAGAAAUGAGAACACUCCCUCACUCCUCUCUUUGUAUCAAGAGCUCCACAAACCUCCAAAAAAAA